UAAUCAUUUUACAACUGUAGCCAUGACCUGCCAAAUGUCUUCUGAUGCUGUUGUAGUUAAUCAAUUUUUUUUCUUCAUGCCUAUUACAUAUGUUUGUAUGUAGCUCUAUUUGUUAAUUUGGUUUACUCGAUCAUGUUUUAAUUGUAUUUAUUUUCAAUCCAUUACAUACCUUAAAAAAUAUUUAAUGUUUUGUAUUGAUAGUUAUUCAAGGACUUGAGAUUUCAAAAUUUUAGCAUACAAUUUUUGAUAAUAUAACAUUCCGUCCAGCUUUAUUUUUUUGAAAAAGAAUAAUUAA
rnacentral:lncRNA from 1 species